rnacentral:rRNA from 1 species
AUUGAACGCUGGCGGCAUGCUUUACACAUGCAAGUCGAACGGUAACAGGCCGCAAGGUGCUGACGAGUGGCGAACGGGUGAGUAAUGCAUCGGAACGUGCCCAGUCGUGGGGGAUAACUACUCGAAAGAGUAGCUGAUACCGCAUACGAUCUAUGGAUGAAAGCGGGGGACCGUAAGGCCUCGCGCGAUUGGAGCGGCCGAUGUCAGAUUAGGUAGUUGGUGGGGUAAAGGCUCACCAAGCCAACGAUCUGUAGCUGGUCUGAGAGGACGACCAGCCACACUGGGACUGAGACACGGCCCAGACUCCUACGGGAGGCAGGAGUGGGGAAUUUUGGACAAUGGGCGCAAGCCUGAUCCAGCAAUGCCGCGUGCAGGAAGAAGGCCUUCGGGUUGUAAACUGCUUUUGUACGGAACGAAACGGCUCUGGUUAAUACCCGGGGCUAAUGACGGUACCGUAAGAAUAAGCACCGGCUAACUACGUG